UACGUAGGGUGCGAGCGUUGUCCGGAAUUACUGGGCGUAAAGAGCUCGUAGGUGGUUUGUCGCGUUGUUCGUGAAAACUCACAGCUUAACUGUGGGCGUGCGGGCGAUACGGGCAGACUGGAGUACUGCAGGGGAGACUGGAAUUCCUGGUGUAGCGGUGGAAUGCGCAGAUAUCAGGAGGAACACCGGUGGCGAAGGCGGGUCGCUGGGCAGUAACUGACGCUGAGGAGCGAAAGCGUGGGGAGCGAACAGG
rnacentral:rRNA from 1 species